rnacentral:rRNA from 1 species
AGUUGGUGGGGUAAAGGCCUACCAAGGCGACGAUCCGUAACUGGUCUGAGAGGAUGAUCAGUCACACUGGAACUGAUACACGGUCCAGACUCCUACGGGAGGCAGCAGUGGGGAAUAUUGGACAAUGGGCGAAAGCCUGAUCCAGCCAUGCCGCGUGUGUGAAGAAGGUCUUCGGAUUGUAAAGCACUUUAAGUUGGGAGGAAGGGCAGUAAGUUAAUACCUUGCUUUUUUGACGUUACCAACAGAAUAAGCACCGGCUAACUUCGUGCCAGCACCCGCGGUAAUACGAAGGGUGCAAGCGUUAAUCGGAAUUACUGGGCGUAAAGCGCGCGUAUGUGGUUCAGCAAGUUGGAUGUGAAAUCCCCGGGCUCAACCUGGGAACUGCAUCCAAAACUACUGAGCUAGAGUACGGUAUAGGGUGGUGGAAUUUCCUGUGUAGCGGUGAAAUGCGUAGAUAUAGGAAGGGAACACCAGUGGCGAAGGCGACCACCUGGACUGAUACUGACACUGAGGUGCGAA